GACGAACGCUGGCGGCGUGCUUAACACAUGCAAGUCGAACGAAGUGGCGAACGGGUGAGUAACGCGUAAUCAACCUGCCCUUCAGAGGGGGACAACAGUUGGAAACGACUGCUAAUACCGCAUACGGAAGGAGGGGAUUGCGUCUGAUUAGCUAGGUGGGGGGGUAACGGCCCACCAAGGCGAUGAUCAGUAGCCGGUCUGAGGGGGUGGACGGCCACAUUGGGACUGGGGCACGGCCCAGACUCCUACGGGAGGCAACAGUGGGGGAUCUUCCGCAAUGGACGAAAAGCUGACGGAGCAACGCCGGGGGAGUGAUGACGGCCUUCGGGUUGUAAAGCUCUGUUAAUCGGGACGCGGUACCGGAAUAGAAAGCCACGGCUAACUACGUGCCAGCAGCCGCGGUAAUUC
rnacentral:rRNA from 1 species